rnacentral:lncRNA from 1 species
CUGGAAUUGCAGGCGGACUGAAGACAGUGGGUGGGGUGUGGGUGAGGCGUUUUAUUGGCUUUCGCUUCUCCCAGGGUGCAGGCAGCUCGCCGCAGGUCCCCACAGUGGAGCUGAGCAAACUCACACGGAUGCGAGCUUCCUUCACUUCAAACUGAUCUAUGAAUCUACACGGAGGACAGAGACCGGCAAGGAAACAGGAAACCGGACAGAGCAGCCACAGGAACAAAAACCAGUCAUGGCUGAGAAUCCCAAGGGCCUGGCAGCCCCUGGAACUCCCCCUUCUAGGGGGAUCUGCACGGAGGUCAG